AUCACUUUGGCAGAAAAAUGUGUCGGAUUUAGGAUCCGUUUAUAUAGUUAAUACUAUAUGUGAUA
rnacentral:tRNA from 1 species